rnacentral:lncRNA from 1 species
AUUUAUCUAGUAGCAAGAGUAUAGGUCUGGAUCCAAGGAGAAAUUUCUCCCUCACAACCCACAAUGCUCAGGAGGGAGACCAUUCAUGUUCCAUCCCUGCAAGACAAUUCAACCACACAACCACCAUGAGCCAUGAGUGUCAGUGGAUGUAACGUGGUCCAAGCUGGGAAGUCAGAUUCAGCACUGCCUCCUCCCCUACCAACCUGGAAGAACCUUGGCUCUUGGCGAGAAGCAGCUACUAGCACAAAGAUGGGGACCACACUGACAAG